rnacentral:rRNA from 1 species
GAUGAACGCUGGCGGCGUGCCUAAUACAUACAAGUCGAGCGAACGGACGAGAAGCUUGCUUCUCUGAUGUUAGCGGCGGACGGGUGAGUAACACGUGGAUAACCUACCUAUAAGACUGGGAUAACUUCGGGAAACCGGAGCUAAUACCGGAUGAUAUUUUGAACCGCAUGGUUCAAAAGUGAAAGACGGUCUUGCUGUCACUUAUAGAUGGAUCCGCGCUGCAUUAGCUAGUUGGUAAGGUAACGGCUUACCAAGGCAACGAUGCAUAGCCGACCUGAGAGGGUGAUCGGCCACACUGGAACUGAGACACGGUCCAGACUCCUACGGGAGGCAGCAGUAGGGAAUCUUCCGCAAUGGGCGAAAGCCUGACGGAGCAACGCCGCGUGAGUGAUGAGGGUCUUCGGAUCGUAAAACUCUGUUAUUAGGGAAGAACAUAUGUGUAAGUAACUGUGCACAUCUUGACGGUACCUAAUCAGAAAGCCACGGCUAACUACGUGCCAGCAGCCGCGGUAAUACGUAGGUGGCAAGCGUUAUCCGGAAUUAUUGGGCGUAAAGCGCGCGUAGGCGGUUUUUUAAGUCUGAUGUGAAAGCCCACGGCUCAACCGUGGAGGGUCAUUGGAAACUGGAAAACUUGAGUGCAGAAGAGGAAAGUGGAAUUCCAUGUGUAGCGGUGAAAUACGCAGAGAUAUGGAGGAACACCAGUGGCGAAGGCGACUUUCUGGUCUGUAACUGACGCUGAUGUGCGAAAGCGUGGGGAUCAAACAGGAUUAGAUACCCUGGUAGUCCACGCCGUAAACGAUGAGUGCUAAGUGUUAGGGGGUUUCCGCCCCUUAGUGCUGCAGCUAACGCAUUAAGCACUCCGCCUGGGGAGUACGACCGCAAGGUUGAAACUCAAAGGAAUUGACGGGGACCCGCACAAGCGGUGGAGCAUGUGGUUUAAUUCGAAGCAACGCGAAGAACCUUACCAAAUCUUGACAUCCUUUGACAACUCUAGAGAUAGAGCCUUCCCCUUCGGGGGACAAAGUGACAGGUGGUGCAUGGUUGUCGUCAGCUCGUGUCGUGAGAUGUUGGGUUAAGCCCCGCAACGAGCGCAACCCUUAAGCUUAGUUGCCAUCAUUAAGUUGGGCACUCUAAGUUGACUGCCGGUGACAAACCGGAGGAAGGUGGGGAUGACGUCAAAUCAUCAUGCCCCUUAUGAUUUGGGCUACACACGUGCUACAAUGGACAAUACAAAGGGCAGCGAAACCGCGAGGUCAAGCAAAUCCCAUAAAGUUGUUCUCAGUUCGGAUUGUAGUCUGCAACUCGACUACAUGAAGCUGGAAUCGCUAGUAAUCGUAGAUCAGCAUGCUACGGUGAAUACGUUCCCGGGUCU